UACGUAGGGUGCAAGCGUUGUCCGGAAUUAUUGGGCGUAAAGAGCUCGUAGGCGGUUUGGUCGCGUCUGGCUGUGAAAACCCGAGGCUCAACCUCGGGCCUGCAGUGGGUACGGGCAGACUAGAGUGGCGGUAGGGGAGAUUGGAAUUCCUGGUGUAAGCGGUGGAAUGCGCAGAUAUCAGGAGGAACACCAAUGGCGAAGGCAGAUCUCUGGGCCGUAACUGACGCUGAGGAGCGGAAAGCAUGGGGAGCGAACAGG
rnacentral:rRNA from 1 species